rnacentral:ribozyme from 1 species
UAUGUGGUGUUGCAGCAGGGUAAAGUCGUCGCCGAGGGAUACAGGGACAACGAUGACGCUACUACUACUACUACUACUACUGGUCCUGCUGACAUGUUGUAUCCUGCAUU